rfam:Pararhizobium polonicum strain F5.1 contig_3, whole genome shotgun sequence.
GGCGGGGUAGCUCAGGUGGUUAGAGCAGCGGAAUCAUAAUCCGCGUGUCGGGGGUUCGAGUCCCUCUCCCGCUA